AAGUGGAAAAGGGUUUGGAACUAAGAAUAACAAUAACAUCAGAUAUUUGGGGCAAACGGGGGGCACGACAAUGCACUGGUAUUCUCUUCUUUUUCUUCUCACAUUGGCUUCAUAGAGAUCGACUACUCCGUACAAUUUCAGAUUUGAACCAUUCAGAAGCUUUACGGAAGGGAAAGACCCUUGCAAAGUAGCUUUCUUCUGGACUCUUUGGUUGAGGAAGAUUAUGGUUUAAUUUGAGUUUAGACUUAAUUUAAUAGUGUGUAUUCUCCUAAACUGGAUGCUAGUUGAUUGGUCUUCGGUUAUACUUAAAUUUGAUGAUAUUUGAAUUGUUGACAGUAGUAUGAAUAAUUAUUGAAAAUCGACUUGAUGAAAUUACCUUAUGAUUUUAAGUAUACUUGUAAAUUUAGUACAUCAUAUUGUAUCCUGAGAGAUAGUGUGAAUUUGAUAAAAUAUACAUAAAAUGGUUACGGAGGAUCGGAUACCACGCUGGUACGGAUAUGAAUACUGAUAUUACUUAUUCAUGAAGGAUUGGGUACCAUGCUGGUACGAUACAUGGACUUAGAUUAUCCUCUGUAGGUCAUGACUAGUUGGGCUAAACUAAGGCCCUUAGCAUCUGUGUACAUAUUAGUGUUGAUUUUGAGAGGUUAUUUGGUUUAAUAAGUUGAUAACGAUCCAAUAGUGUUCUAAUUGUUAGGUUUAGAAGGACAUAGUUGUUACUUAUGGUAUUAUUAUUGAUUUUAUGGAUGUUUACAGUAUGUUUGAUACUCUUGAUGGUUAUGUGUCUUGUUUGUAAGCAUUGUUUGGCCCAUCAUUAAUGUAUUUGCUGAUUCAUUGAAUAUUUGGUAUGCAUUGAUCCUGUCUACUUGAUAUUCGAAUUAGGUUGUAUAUAUGUUAUUAAAUUGAGUUGGCCUAUGCUUCAUAUCAGUACAUAGUGGUUUGUACUGAUACUACCCUGUACUCUUCUUUUGCUGAGUGCAAAAAGUGUUUCAGAGCUUCAAACACGACCUCAUCUCUAGCGUUUGAUAGCUGAUCUCGAUCUAAGGGUAAGCACUUUAUCUCCAGGCUGCGAUGGAUCAUUAUGUUAGUUUUGUCCUAAGUUGCUUGGACUCUCAAAAAAUGUUGCCGCACCCGUGUCGGAUUCUUCAAAAAUACACUAUUUUUGGAGGAUCCGACACACACCCAUAGACAUUUUUGAGGAGUCCGAGCAACUUAGGUUUUGUCCAUCUUUCGGGCAAUGAGACAAUCUUUAUUUUUCUUUAUUUUGGAUAUCUCUUGUAGAUAUGGUUUUUGUUUAGAAGUUCGUUUGUUUGAUUUUCACAUUAAUAAUACUUAGAUUUGGAGUUAUUAUUGUUAAGUUGGUUUUCAUGAUAAUCUCAUCUUAAUGUUGACUAAAUGGUUGGGUAAUGGUUUGGGUUAGAUGGUUCUCUUACAGGAAGAUUAGUGUGGGUGCCACUCAUGGCCAUGUGGAUCGCGACAGUCCUGACCCUACCCUCUUAUCAUUUCUACUUCCAAAUGACUUUUGAUAAUCAUGAGAAUUUGAUUUAUUAGCAAAUUCCGCCUGGUUUCAUCAACGAACACAAGAAGAUUUUGGCAGAGACUUGCUUACUACACACGAAUGAAGGAGUAUUUCAAUUUCUUCAUUUAUGAAGGAGACUGGCCUAAUUUUGUAGUGUAUCACAAAUUGAGGCCAUGGGGACAUCUUGCUCAUUUUGAUUUUUGACAAAUCGACAUCCCUAAUCAUUCCCUAUAGCCAGAAAAAUGGUAAAAACUUUCAUGGGGAGCAACCUUUAAAGGAACGAAUCAGCAACUCAGAAGACGGGGAAGAGGAGGAUAUUGAUCCUUCAAGAAAUUUGAAUGGAUCAUCAGACUCCAAGGAAGAAAACAAUGAUUUAUCCAGUUGCUACUCACAUUUAGGAGUUAAAUCCAACGGUAAAGGUGUUGACAAGAUCGACUUGAAGAAGAAAAUUCCGGAACUAUAGUUUUUUUGGUGGCUUGUCAGUGAUUAUAACAACCUUAGGAAGCCUCUUGGUUCUUUUGUCAUUCUUAUUGAGGAGCUUAAGAAUUGAUGCCUGAUUAUAACAAUCUUUUCUUUUGAUGCUGUCGAGAAAUUUAGUGAAGACAAGUAAAAACAAAUGUCGAGUUCUGUGAAAGCUCUUUAUAUAGCAGAGGCAGAGAAAAGGAAGGUCGAUUACGCAAACUUAUUGAAUUUUUAUAACUGACUAAUGGCUGCUGGACAUGCUGAAAAAGAGGAAUCUGACAAGUCAAUGUCCAAGGUUGGUCCCUCCAGUGGCUCCAAAAAUAAGGAAACUCCCUGCUAUGUACAUUUAGUUACACAUCCAUCUCAUCUUAUGUUUGGUAUAUCUUAUUAUUUUCAGUUCUUCUAUAAAUGAUGUUGAUGGGGAGCCUUGACAUAUCUAGUUAAGUUGUUGCCAUGUGCUAACGCUUCUACAGGCUCCACACAUAGUGGGAGCUUAGUGCACCCGUGGGCUACCCAUUUUGCAAAUUAUGUUCUUAAAUUUUGCUGAUUAAUUAGGUUUGGGCCCUAAUUGUUGUACUUGAAUUUAAAAAAAGAAAUUAUUUGUUGCUAUUUUAGUCUUGUUAGAGACAUCUAUGUUAUCCUUACUAUAAGUAUGAGAUCCCCUUGGAAUCCAUUACCAAAGACUGCCCUUUUAGUCCAUAUACUCUGACCAUACAACGACAUAUCAAAGCUAGGGAAUAUCAUUUUUUCUCUCUCUCAUUCAUUUUCUUAUCGUAAUGAUUUCCUCAUGAAGGAGAUAAAUCCAGUGCCAAAGUUAAUCAUGUAUUCCGCACGGAGAAGAAAUCCUCGGGACUAAAAAAGUUACCUAAGAGGCCUACAAGUCCUUUCUUCAUUUUCAUGGAGAAGUUUAGAAAGUGAUUCCGUGUGCUGAAUCCAAGCAUCAAAUCUUUUUUUGAUAUCGGGAAAGUUGGUGGAAGUAAGUGUAUGUAGAUGUCAGAUGCUGAGAAAGCUCCUUAUAAGCUAGAGUUUACAAAGAUAAUGAAGGCGUAUAACAAGUGAGUGGCUGUUGUAAAUGCCUAAGAAGUGGAAUCUGAUAAGUCAAGGUCUGAGUUUGAUAACGAAGAGGGAAAGAGGAUGAUAACUUGUAUAGUUUCUUAUUUUCCUAUUCGAUACUAGAGUAGAUGCUUUUUGUGAGAUUGGUAUCAAAAUUGUAUAUUUUAUUUAUCUGAGAGCUACAAAUUUAUAGUA